GAGACCCACGCCCACAGUUGCCAGCGUACCCUCCGGGGUGACGGGUACACUGUGGGGACCGCCGCUAAAGCGGAGGAAGGAAUGGGCAACGGUAGGUCAGUAUGCCCCGAAUAUCCCGGGCUACACGCGGGCUACAAUGGACAGGACAGUGGGAAUCGACACCGAGAGGUGAAGGCAAUCCCCUAAACCUGCCCUUAGUUCGGAUUGUGGGCUGCAGCUCGCCCACAUGAAGCUGGAAUCCGUAGUAAUCGCGGAUCAACAUUCCGCGGUGAAUAU
rnacentral:rRNA from 1 species